rnacentral:rRNA from 1 species
GACGAACGCUGGCGGCGUGCUUAACACAUGCAAGUCGAACGGAAAGGCCCUGCUUUUGUGGGGUGCUCGAGUGGCGAACGGGUGAGUAACACGUGAGUAACCUGCCCUUGACUUUGGGAUAACUUCAGGAAACUGGGGCUAAUACCGGAUAGGAGCUCCUGCUGCAUGGUGGGGGUUGGAAAGUUUCGGCGGUUGGGGAUGGACUCGCGGCUUAUCAGCUUGUUGGUGGGGUAGUGGCUUACCAAGGCUUUGACGGGUAGCCGGCCUGAGAGGGUGACCGGCCACAUGGGGACUGAGAUACGGCCCAGACUCAUACGGGAGGAAGAAGUGGGGAAUAUUGCACAAUGGGCGGAAGCCUGAUGCAGCAACGCCGCGUGCGGGAUGACGGCCUUCGGGUGGUAAACCGCUUUCGCCUGUGACGAAGCGUGAGUGACGGGAAUGGGGAAAGAAACACCGGCUAACUACGG